rnacentral:rRNA from 1 species
GCAGCAGCCACGGUAAUACAGAGGGUGCGAGCGUUAAUCGGAUUUACUGGGCGUAAAGCGUGCGUAGGCGGCUAAUUGAGUCGGAUGUGAAAUCCCCGAGCUUAACUUGGGAAUUGCAUUCGAUACUGGUUAGCUAGAGUGUGGGAGAGGAUGGUAGAAUUCCAGGUGUAGCGGUGAAAUGCGUAGAGAUCUGGAGGAAUACCGAUGGCGAAGGCAGCCAUCUGGCCUAACACUGACGCUGAGGUACGAAAGCAUGGGGAGCAAACAGGAUUAGAUACCCCCGUAGUCCCUGUCUCUUAUAA